AAACCGGAAGACCGUGAGUAGCUGCGGCGGGGCUGACCCAUCCUGAGUGCCAAAGCUGGGGUUCUACUUGAGAUUUCCCUCGUGGUGCCAGGGUCCGGCGAGCAUCACGCCGAGGCCCAUUUUCCAGACGACCACGACGAGGCCGGGGUCACCUGGCAAGAUGCGCUGACCCUGCCAGAGGCCCAGCCCCAGAACUCAGAGAAUGGGGCACUGCAUGUGACCAAGGACCUGCUGUGGGAGCCGGCAACCCCUGGGCCUCUCCCCAUGCUGCCUCCCCUCAUCGAUCCCUGGGACCCUGGCCUGACUGCCCGGGACCUGCUUUUCCGCGGAGGGUACCGGUAUCGGAGGCGGCCCCGAGUCGUGCUGGAUGUUACUGAGCAGGUGAGUGGGCCCACGGGGGACAGUGCUGCGUAGCCUGGAGACUGUGCUUAGUGACCUGGCCUCCUCCUCUCCCCAGAUCAGCCGGUUCCUCUGGGAUCAUGGAGACGUAGCCUUUGCGCCCCUGGGGAAGCUGAUGCUGGAGAAUUUCAAGCUGGAGGGAACAGCGAGCCGCACUAAGAAGAAGACAGUGGUCAGUGUGAAGAAGCUGCUCCAGGACCUCGGUGGACACCAGCCCUGGGGGUGUCCCUGGGCUUACCUCAGCAACCGACAGCGCCGCUUCUCUAUCCUCGGGGGCCCCAUCCUGGGCACAUCGGUGGCGAGCCACUUGGCAGAGCUGCUGCACGAGGAGCUGGUGCUGCGGUGGGAGCAGCUGCUUCUGGAUGAGGCCUGCACUGGGGGCGCGCUAGCCUGGGUGCCUGGAAGGACACCCCAGUUCGGGCAGCUGGUCUACCCUGCUGGAGGCGCCCUGGACAGGCUGCAUUUCCAAGAGGUCGUUCUGACCCCAGGUGACAGUCCCCAAUUCCUUGGGAACCCUGGACGCAUCCAGCUCCAGGGACCUGUCCGGCAGGUGGUGACAUGCACCGUCCAGGGAGAAACUCUGCUGGCCGUCCGCUCUGACUACCACUGUGCCGUGUGGAAGUUUGGUAAACAGUGGCAGCCAACCCUUCUGCAGGCAAUGCAGGUGGAGAAAGGGGCCACAGGGAUCAGCCUCAGCCCUCACCUGCCUGGGGAGCUGGCCAUCUGCAGCCGCUCAGGAGCCGUCUGCCUGUGGAGCCCUGAGGAUGGGUAUUGCCGCUUCCUGUGAAACCCCCCACCCUAACAAACUGAACUCUGCCCUGUUCAGCAUGUCACGACCCUUGAGCCCCUUCCACCUCAGCCUGUCCCCCUGCCCAUGGCUUGCCUGUCUCCCCAAGGCUGCAGCAAAUCUACAAGGACCCUGAGACCCUUGUGUUCCGGGAGUCCUCUUCAUGGCGUUGGGCAGACUUCACUGCCCACCCUCGGCUGCUGACCGUUGGUGACCGCACUGGAGUGAAGAUGCUUGACACUCAGGGCCCGCCGGGCUGUGGUCUGUUGCUUUUUCGUUUGGGGGCAGAGGCUUCGUGCCAGAAAGGGGAACGUGUCCUGCUCACCCAGUACCUGGGGCACUCCAGCCCCAAAUGCCUCCCCCCUACUCUCCAUCUCGUCUGUACCCAGUUCUCCCUCUACCUAGUGGACGAGCGCCUUCCCCUGGUGCCGAUGCUGAAGUGGAACCAUGGCCUCCCCUCCCCGCUCCUGCUGGCCCGACUGCUGCCUCCACCCCGGCCCAGCUGCGUGCAGCCCCUGCUCCUCGGAGGCCAGGGUGGGCAGCUGCAGCUGCUGCACCUGGCAGGAGAAGGGGCGUCGGUGCCCCGCCUGGCAGGCCCCCCCCAGUCUCUUCCUUCCAGAACCGACUCCCUCCCUGCAUUUCCUCUGCUGGAGCCUAAGAUCCAGUGGCGGCUGCAGGAGCGCCUGAAAGCACCGACCAUAGGUCUGGCUGCCGUCGUCCCGCCCUUGCCCUCGGCGCCCACACCGGGCCUGGUGCUCUUCCAGCUCUCGGCGGCGGGAGAUGUCUUCUACCAGCAGCUCCGCCCCCAGGUGGACUCCAGCCUCCGCAGAGAUGCAGGGCCUCCCGGUGACACCCAACCUGACUGCCAUGCCCCCACAGCUUCCUGGACCUCCCAGGACACUGCCGGCUGCAGCCAGUGGCUGAAGGCCCUGCUAAAAGUGCCCCUGGCUCCUCCUGUGUGGACAGCACCCACCUUCACCCACCGCCAGCUGCUGGGCAGCAGAGAGCUGCGGAGGGAGGAAGAGGAAGGGCAGCGGCUGGGUGUGCUCCGCAAGGCCAUGGCCCAAGGGCGGCUCCUGCUGCAGAGAGACCUGGGCUCCCUCCCUGCAGCAGAGCCACCCCCUGCACCCGAGUCAGGCCCAGAGGACAAGCUCAGUGAGCGCCUGGGGGAAGCCUGGGCAGGCCGAGGGGCUGCCUGGUGGGAGAGGCAGCAGGGCAGGACCUCGGAGCCCGGGAGACAGACCAGGCGGCCCAAGCGCCGGACCCAGCUGUCCAGCAGCUUUUCGCUCAGUGGCCAUGUGGACCCCUCAGAGGACACCAGCCCCCGUCACAGCCCUGAGUGGCCACCUGCCGAUGCUCUGCCCCUCCCCCCCGUGACCCCGCCCUCCCAGGAGUUGACUCCGGAUGUGUGCACCCAGGGCGUCCCAUCAGGGCGGCGGCAGAUGCUCCGUGACUACAUGGCCAAGCUACCACCCCAAAGGGACACCCCAGGCUGUGCCGCCACACCCCCUUCCUCCCAGGCCUCCAGCAUCCGGGCCACUCGCUCCCAGCAGCACACACCCGUCCUCUCUGGCUCUCAGCCCCUCCGGAAGAAGCCUCGGAUGGGCUUCUGAGGACACAAGGUGGGCUGCCCUCAAGCCCCAGAGAGCCCCUCAUCCUUCCUCCGGGACCAGAUGUGCCUUCCACAGUUGAAACUUGAGAAGCAGAGCUCGCCACCUUCUAGAGGCCACUGUGAUGAUGAGCCAAGCAAUUUGGAGCCAAGUUGAAGGGACAGGGCAACAAAAUACAAUAGUAGUUUCUUUCGUAUUUUGUAUAUUCGCCUGAAGAUCAUCCCGAAAGGCAGGUUGGAGGUGCUGGCGGGCCUGUGUUGAUAGGAUUCUAGUCUGUGCUGGGAGGCAGGGCUCCGCUGCGCCUCAGCUGUGGGGGCCUCAGGCAGGUCCCUCAGUUCUCACGCCUUCCUGUCCGGUGAAAUGGGGGCCAGGAGUGCUGGCUCCUUGUGUUUGGUGAGGGUGGAGUGAGGCCCCUGCAGAGCUGCUGAUGAGGUGGGCACAGCGGCCGUCGGCAGCUGCUGUUUCGGGUUGCUUUGUCAAUCUCUGCCCCGGUCUGAUGUUUUGUACAGGGAGAUGCCUUGAAUCCAGGUUCAGGGAUUAAAUAAACUUGUCAGCUGGAGAUGAAUUGGAAUGGUCACAUUUUUUAGGCUGGACAGCGUCCCGCCAUAGCAGCCAUCUGACACUGAGCUCAUGCACAGAGAUGACGGCUGAUGCUCCUUCUCCCUCGGGACAUGGCUCUGGCACCUGGGGGCUCUCGAUGGUGCCCUCUGAGCACAGGGUCAUGGUCACGUCAGUUUGGGAGAAUUCUCUGUUGUGUCUCACAGACUCCCCCCUUUCUUUCCUCCCUCCCAUUCUCAUUUUGAUGUCUAAAGCAUCAAGUCCCUCUUCCUCGGAGUUUCUCUAGCUGCAGUGGAAGAUUCUGUUUUCCUGUGGGGAAAAUGCUCACUUGAGAUUUUGCAGGGACCCGGGUCUGUCUGGUUUCUGAUGACACAGUAAGAGAAAGGUCUUUUUUCAGGGUGGCUGGUGAAAGGAAUUGCAUGUGACUCACACAAACAGGAGCUAGCCCAAUCAUACACUGACGCACGUGGGUGUUCAAAUGUUUAUCAUGCCUAAAGGAGACAUUUAUAACUAAACCAUUUAUGCUACAUAU
rnacentral:sRNA from 1 species